GACGAACGCUGGCGGCGUGCUUAACACAUGCAAGUCGAACGGAAAGGCCCUGCUUUUGUGGGGUGCUCGAGUGGCGAACGGGUGAGUAACACGUGAGUAACCUGCCCUUGACUUUGGGAUAACUUCAGGAAACUGGGGCUAAUACCGGAUAGGAGCUCCUGCUGCAUGGUGGGGGUUGGAAAGUUUCGGCGGUUGGGGAUGGACUCGCGGCUUAUCAGCUUGUUGGUGGGGUAGUGGCUUACCAAGGUUUUGACGGGUAGCCGGCCUGAGAGGGUGACCGGCAACAUUGGGACUGAGAUACGGCCCAGACUCCUACGGGAGGCAGCAGUGGGGAAUAUUGCACAAUGGGCGGAAGCCUGAUGCAGCAACGCCGCGUGCGGGAUGACGGCCUUCGGGUUGUAAACCGCUUUCGCCUGUGACGAAGCGUGAGUGACGGUAAUGGGUAAAGAAGCACCGGCUAACUACGUG
rnacentral:rRNA from 1 species